rnacentral:rRNA from 1 species
UACGUAGGGACCAAGCGUUGUUCGGAUUUACUGGGCGUAAAGGGCGCGUAGGCGGCGUGUCAAGUCAAUUGUGAAAUCUCCGGGCUUAACUCGGAACGGUCAAUUGAUACUGAUGUGCUAGAGUGCAGAAGGGGCAAUCGGAAUUCUUGGUGUAGCGGUGAAAUGCGUAGAUAUCAAGAGGAACACCUGAGGUGAAGACGGGUUGCUGGGCUGACACGUGACGCUGAGGCGCGAAAGCUAGGGUAGCAAACGGG